rnacentral:rRNA from 1 species
GAUGAACGCUGGCGGCGUGCCUAAUACAUGCAAGUCGAGCGAACAGACGAGGAGCUUGCUCCUCUGACGUUAGCGGCGGACGGGUGAGUAACACGUGGAUAACCUACCUAUAAGACUGGGAUAACUUCGGGAAACCGGAGCUAAUACCGGAUAAUAUAUUGAACCGCAUGGUUCAAUAGUGAAAGACGGUUUUGCUGUCACUUAUAGAUGGAUCCGCGCCGCAUUAGCUAGUUGGUAAGGUAACGGCUUACCAAGGCAACGAUGCGUAGCCGACCGGAGAGGGUGAUCGGCCACACUGGAACUGAGACACGGUCCAGACUCCUACGGGAGGCAGCAGUAGGGAAUCUUCCGCAAUGGGCGAAAGCCUGACGGAGCAACGCCGCGUGAGUGAUGAAGGUCUUCGGAUCGUAAAACUCUGUUAUUAGGAAAGAACAAAUGUGUAAGUAACUAUGCACGUCUUGACGGUACCUAGUCAGAAAGCCACGGCUAACUACGU